rnacentral:lncRNA from 1 species
AGUGGGCCCAAGAUAACAAGAGAUCACCGAAGACUAACAGAGUCCCUCCAUCAAAGCCUGCAGCUCCUGUCUGGGGGCCCUUGAACCCUCUCCAGGUAGUUCUCCCCUCAUGUUCCAGCAGGGCCCCCCUUCCCCCUUGACACCUGGCCUAGCCAUGGAAACAGCGCCCCUCUGCUCUGUCGCUUUUCCAGAGCCGCCCACACCUUUGUAAAUAGCCCCUUUAUUAGACCCUUCUCAAUUUUCCCAAUUUUGAGCGUGCCAUCUGUUUCCUGCAGGGAGUCUGACUGUCACGGGAUAUACAUCAUUGGUAUUUUCCACAUUACCACAUGUAAUCUGUGUGGACCAUAGCUGCAUAGCAUUGUGUUGAGCAUAUAUACCAUAAUUCAGUUAACCAUUCCCUUGUGGGUCCACAUUCAAUUGGCCUCAUUUUUUUCUGUAUGAAAACCUCAGUGAAAUACUCCUUGCCUGAACUUUCUUUCCUGUCUGGGUUUAAGUUCACAGUAGGUGAUUGGUCCUUUCUACAGGUAUGUUUUCAGCUGUGAUCCUUUGCUGCCCUCAGGAAACUUACCAGUUGACAGGACAAAAUUGAGACACAUUGUUAGAGCAACAAUGGAGUACAAUUACAUGAGAUGAUUAGAAAUUCAAAGAUAGGCCAGGCACGGUGGCUCACGCCUGUAAUCCCAGCACUUUGGGAGGCUGAGGCAGGCGGAUCACUUGAGGUCAGGAUUUCGAGACCAGCCUGGCCAAAUGGUGAAACCCCAUCUCCAUUAAAAAUAUGAAAAUUAGUAGGGCAUGGUGGCACACACCUGUAGUCCCAGCUACUUGGGAGGCUGAAGCAGGAGAAUUGCUUGAACCUGGUAGGUGGAGGUUGCAGUGAGCUGAGAUUGUGCCACUGCACUCCAGCCUGGGCAACAGAGCAAGACUCCGUCAAAAAGAAAGAAAGAAGGAAAGAAGGAAGGAAAGAAAGGAAAGAAAGAGGCUGGGCGUGGUGACUCAUGCUGAUGCCUGUAAUCUCAGCACUUUGGGAGGCUGAGAUGGGCAGAUCACGAGGCCAGGAGAUCAAGGCCAUCUUGGCCAACAUGGUGAAACCCUGUCUCUACUAAAAAUACAAAAAAAUUAGCCAGGCAUGGUGACACG